rnacentral:rRNA from 1 species
CGGAUAAAAGCUACCCUGGGGAUAACAGGCUUAUCUCCCCCAAGAGUCCACAUCGACGGGGAGGUUUGGCACCUCGAUGUCGGCUCAUCACAUCCUGGGGCUGUAGUAGGUCCCAAGGGUUGGGCUGUUCGCCCAUUAAAGUGGUACGCGAGCUGGGUUCAGAACGUCGUGAGACAGUUCGGUCCCUAUCCGUCGCAGGCGUAGGAAAUUUGAGAAGACCUGUCCUUAGUACGAGAGGACCGGGAUGGACGUACCUCUGGUGUACCAGUUGUUCUGCCAAGGGCAUGGCUGGGUAGCUAUGUACGGAAUGGAUAAGCGCUGAAAGCAUCUAAGCGCGAAGCCAACUUCAAGAUAAGAUUUCCCACCGCAAGGGUAAGACCCCAGAAAGACUAUCUGGUUGAUAGGUCGAAGGUGUAAGUGCAGCAAUGUAUUUAGCUUAUCGAUACUAAUAGGUCGAGGACUUGACCAAAUU